ensembl:lncRNA
GAACCACUGCCGUUUAAAACUGGCACAAAACAGUUUAUAUUAUAUAUUACCAUGAACAUAAUUGGUUAUUGAUAAGUGUUUCUAUGUAUGCAUUUGCUUCUCAGUUAGUGAAUGUUGUGGGAUGCUUGUGGAGUAGUGUGUCAGUGACUAGCUGGCUACCUAGCUCAUGCUACAUUACGAGAAGGCAACACAAAUCUAGCUCUAACAAGGUAGGCUUCAUUUUAGUGCAUAAUGAUAAUGUUGUUGAGUUGGCUGCCGACACAGAUAACAUCAGUUUAUGUAUUUUUGCCGUUAGAAAAUCAGCUCAGUUGUACCUCCCCUGUGUUUAAAGCAUCAGCCGCCACUGGUUGGUUUGUAUGACGGAGCUCUAAGAAGCACUAUAAAUAAAUCCCCCAGUCCUCCUACGGCUAAAAAUAGCCUACUGUAGGCAGGAAGGCUCUUGGGCUCCCCCUGUCGGCUCAGCUUGAAUUACCAAAUUGCUGGCAUUUUUACUACAUUUACCCAGUGUGACCAGAAGAGGCAUCCUUCUCUGUAUCCCCCCUCUCUCUUUCUCUCUCUCACGUUCUCUCUCUAUCUAUAUCUCUCAAACGUGUAGGGAAUACUGCUGGCAAACUACACACGUGUUCCAUCCCUCAGUGUUUGUGAAUAUGAGUGUGUCUGUAGAGUGUGUGUUUGUGUUCUGCAUUAGAGAUCAUCUUGUCAAUGCUGUUUUUUUUCCCCCUUUCUCUGUCUCUCUCUUUCAUAUGAAAAGCUCCAGUGCAGCGUGUGUGCCAGAUUGAAUUUACAGCCCAUUUGCCAAGCAGCCGUCUUGGGGAGGGAGGGGGGCAUCUGCAGCCUCCAGCCAGUGUGAUUGUGUUGUGCUUCCCAGGAAGGUUGAACUAGUCCAGUGUGAGAUUGGCAUGAGGUGAAGGGGGAGGAAUCGGGGAGGGGAGGGGAGGAUGAAUAGAGAGAAUGAGGAAGACAGUAGGACGGGCAUAAGACAUUAAGUGAUUAGUUGUGUCACCUUCCUUCUCUCUGCCCAAAGACGGCGAGAGAAUGUUGAGUUUAGAGAGAGAGAGAGAGAGAGGAGAAAGGAAGAGAUGGAAAAAGACAGAGGGAAGAAAGGAAGAGAAAGAAAAAGACAGAGGGAAAAAGUUGUGUUUAGAGAUGGAGGGAAGAGAGGAACAGACCAAAGAAGCGAGAGGGAUAAGGUUCAGGUUAGAGAGAAGAAGUGGCAGUUGAGGUGAGAAAGGAAGUGAUAGAGAGAGAAGGAGAGAGAGAGAAAAGGUUGUGGAUGAGGAGAGAGCGAGAAGAGGGAUUGGGGUAGGGGUUAGAGGAUGGAGAGAAAGAGAAGGGAAACAGAGAGAUAGAGAGAGAGGGAUAAGGAGAGAGAGAAGAGAGAGAAGGGAUUGGCAUGAGGGAGAAAAGGAG